GACCGCGUAGCCCAGUUGGAAGAGCAUUGGGCUAGUAUUACAAAGGUCGUAGGUUCGAAUCCCACCGUGGCCG
rnacentral:tRNA from 1 species